rnacentral:lncRNA from 1 species
AUAUAAUUGAUCACCAAUUAUUUAUACAUGUGACAAUUGUUUUGGUUGUGAAUCAAGAGAGAAAUAGAGCAAGGUAUCCUCUAUCAAUCAAUAAAUCUUCAUCUUACAAUUUGAUAAUAAAUAUUGAGAAUUUAUAUAAGAUCCUCUCAACCUUAAUGCUUAGUUACUAGAAGUAAAAAGAAGGGUUGAAUGGAUAUAUCUGCUUCACAAUACAACAGUUCUAGUGAAUCUGGUUGGACUAAUUACUUAGACCAAUCCACUUUUGCUGAAAAUCACUUCCAAAGGAUGAGUGCUAUUGCUGAUAAUGAAGGAAAGGGAGAAAGAAUAGAAGAAUCUGAAGACUUAUCAAUGGUUUCUGAUGCUUCUUCUGGACCUCCACAUUGUGAUGAUGAAUGCUAUUGUGAGAAUUGCUAUCCUUACAAGUAUUAUACAAAGGACUCACAAAAGAAGGUUAAAGAAUAUAGCAGAAUUCAACAUCAACCUUCAACUCUUGAUGACACUGCUAGCUCCUCUCUUUUCAACUUUCCCAAGGAGAGUCAAAAGAAGCAAGUCAAAUUCUUAGGAAAUGGAGCAAUGGAGAAUGCAAUGGAUUUUUCUCAGCGUUUAUCUGCAACUAAAAUAAAUGUGCACCUCUAUUCUUAUUGUUUUUUCAUUCAUUAUAUUAUGAGUUGUGACAAUCAAACUUAAGCAUUUUAUUGGAUUUGAGCUGAAUUCGUAAGCUUCUGCAGAGAAAAGCUAAAAUCCAGAAGCACUUCAGAGGAAAACAAGCUUCACGAGAACCAGGUUCUCCAUUGUUUCUUAAAAUUUAUGGGCAGUUCGAAUAAUCAGCUUAAUUAAGCAUUUAUAGAAUAAGUUUUUUGAAAUAAGCUGAAAAGACAUAUUUUUUAUAAGCUAAUCUUAUUGAAAUAAGAUAAAAGAUGUUCUUAUAAAGACUCCAAACACCCAUUGUUAUGCUUCUACUAAUAAGUGCAUUGUUUCAUUAUGUCUUGAUUAGACGGAUUUAAUGAAGAACAAAGGAUGGGAUAGAUUUUGAGGUAACUAGCUAUUGUCUCUGCUUCUGUGAAAUAGAGAGAUCAUGAAAUGUGAAAGGGGAAGAAAUUCAAUGAACAAUGAAAAACACUCAUCUUGUUUUCUUCUUUGCUCUUGUUUCUUUAAUAAAAAAUAUUGAAAAAGAAAAGCACUUUUGUUGUAGUUUCUUCUUUUUUGAAUGUGCUACUGUAUUACUGCCAACAAUAUCUUUGGGACCUAAGAUAUUGUUCAUAAAUCAUAGUUUGAGUGGGACCAGUUGAGCAUUUGCCAGCCUGAGUCACUACAGUUUGAGUGGGUAAAUAACUAAAUACGGCUCUUCAC